rnacentral:lncRNA from 1 species
UCAUAAAUACUAAGGGAUGGAAGGGACCUCAGAGGGAUUCUGGGACUACAAACAAACCCAGUCUGAUCAGUGAUGCUCUGUUUGGAAACUUGCAUUGAUGAUGAACUAAUUACCAUCUCAGGGGCAGGAAUCGAGACCAACACAGACAUAUAUUUGAAGGUUCAGAGGCUCUCUCUGGGACCUCAAUGGACAUUAAAAGACUUUGGGGGAAUUCAUCAUGCCUCCUUCAACUGUUGA